rnacentral:lncRNA from 1 species
ACUCCCAGUCCAAGAUGUCGGGCCCUCUAGACGAGAAUCGGGCGACGACGGGUGCUUGUGUUGACCCGGCGAAGGUCGGGACUCUUCCUUCUUUGAUUGCUGCACUUGCAUGGUUGCCGACUAUCGCACCUUUUACGUCCCAGGAUGUUUGAUUCUCGUAGUACUCCCAGAGAGCCUAGUAAGUCAUUUAGUAUAUAAAAGAAAAUUUAAUUCUCGUUUGUAACACGAUUUCUCUGCUCCGAGAAGCAGCAGUCACUUAUCUAACCAAGAAAACGUCUCGGGCUAAGAAGCUUAGUUUGAAACUUUUGCUUUUGAUUCAAUGAUCAGCUGUUUAGAGCGUCUAAUGUUUGAAAAAGUUACAACUUGAGCUUCUAAUGUUUGAAAAAGUUACAACUUGAAUAGCUCUACUCAAAAAAUACUUAUACAGAAUGAGAUCUAUAAAUCAUACUGACCUUCGCAUCAGUUAUGCGAGGGAUCAUAAUGCCCGGAAUGGGGAAGGGGAGGGGUUGCGCGAUAAAGUCUCCAUACAAAGCACUAGCGACGAGAAUGAAACCGAGGAAUCCGAGAGUAUUCGCUGUGUCGAGGAUGGCGGUGACUGUCGACGUGC